AUACGGAGGAUCCGAGCGUUAUCCGGAUUUAUUGGGUUUAAAGGGUGCGCAGGCGGCCAUUUAAGUCAGCGGUUAAAUCGUGGGGCUCAACCCCAUUCUGCCGUUGAUACUGGGUGGCUUGAUUGCGGUCGAGGUUGGCGGAAUUCGUUGUGUAGCGGUGAAAUGCAUAGAUAUUACACAGAACGCCGAUUGUGAAGACACCUCACGAAGCGGUAACUGACGCUGAGGCACGAAAGCGUGGGGAUCGAACAGGAUUAGAUACCCUGGUAGUCCACGCAGUAAACGAUGAUGACUAACCGUCGGCGAUAGACCGCCGGUGGCCAAGCGAAAGCGAUAAGUCAUCCACCUGGGGAGUACGACCGCAAGAAUGAAACUCAAAUGAAUUGACGGGG
rnacentral:rRNA from 1 species